GUAUGGGUAGCUUAACGGUAAAGCCCUCUGUUUGAUAGUAUAGUUCCAGAAAAUGGAUGAAUGCAGAGAUUGAGAGUUCAACUCCCUCCUCAAGCA
rfam:Moniliophthora roreri strain MCA 2952 kmer90.92723, whole genome shotgun sequence.